rnacentral:tRNA from 2 species
GGGCCCGUAGCUUAGUGGCGAGAGCGUCCGGCUCAUAACCGGUUGGUCGUCGGUUCGAAUCCGACCGGGCCCA